rnacentral:rRNA from 1 species
GACGAACGCUGGCGGCGUGCUUAACACAUGCAAGUCGAACGGAAAGGCCCUGCUUUUGUGGGGUGCUCGAGUGGCGAACGGGUGAGUAACACGGGAGUAACCUGCCCUGGACUUUGGGAUAACUUCAGGAAACUGGGGCUAAUACCGGAUAGGAGCUCCUGCUGCAGGGUGGGGGUUGGAAAGUUUCGGCGGUUGGGGAUGGACUCGCGGCUUAUCAGCUUGUUGGUGGGGUAGUGGCUUACCAAGGCUUUGACGGGUAGCCGGCCUGAGAGGGUGACCGGCCACAUUGGGACUGAGAUACGGCCCAGACUCCUACGGGAGGCAGCAGUGGGGAAUAUUGCACAAUGGGCGGAAGCCUGAUGCAGCAACGCCGCGUGCGGGAUGACGGCCUUCGGGUUGUAAACCGCUUUCGCCUGUGACGAAGCGUGAGUGACGGUAAUGGGUAAAGAAGCACCGGCUAACUACGUG